rnacentral:rRNA from 1 species
CAGUCGCCGCGGGAACACGAACCGUGCGAACGUUAUUCGGAAUCACUGGGCUUAAAGCGCGUGUAGGCGGGCCGCCACGUCGGCUGCUGAAAUCCCCCGGCUCAACCGUGGAAGUGGCACCGAUACGAGCGGCCUGGAGGGGGGUAGGGGGGACUGGAACUUCCGGUGGAGCGGUGAAAUGCGUUGAGAUCGGAAGGAACGCCCGUGGCGAAAGCGAGUCCCUGGACCCUUACUGACGCUGAGACGCGAAAGCCAGGGGAGCGAACGGGAUUAGAUACCCCAGUAGUCCCUGUCUCUUAUU